AACCAAUUCUUGCAACAGAUGCUUAUGUUCAGAUUUCUUGUGGAAUGCCGCCUUUCAUUGAUGUGCAAUCCUUAAAGAAAUACAUGAGGGUGGUCAGGAAGUAUUUAAGCGUGUUGGUGCCUACUACAGAAAAUGGCAGCAUCAAAAAUGGUAUUUAGCCCUAAUGAUGCAUUUUUCUACUUCAUUCCCAUAGUAGAUAAAUUAUUUUUGAUUCAAUUGCAUUUGAUCUAUAACCCUCCGGCUAUUUUGAUUCAGGUAUAUUGUAGAGCAAGAAUAUCAAUAUCUCUGUUUCCAUGUUCAGUGAAUACAUGUGAACAAACUCGAACUGGUACUGGGGCGUUAGUUUCCAGAUCCAUUCUUAUUGAUUUUGCUAAUUUUUCUUAACAUUAACAUAGAAAUGCAACCAAACAGAAUUGGUAAGUUCUUCCCACUUCCCUGCUGAGAGACACGUCAUCUUCAGCUCAAAGCAACACCUACUUUUUUAAUGUGUAAUUUGGAACCCUUUCAGUUCAUCCUUACAGAUUGCUACUGAUAUUUUUGGCUGCUUCAAAAUGAUUAUUGAUGCAUGAUUAGUGAUAUACCUAGUGAGAGGUGACAAAUUUGAUAUGUCUUUACAGCUGCAGAUUACUAAGCUUUCAUUGGGAAUUGCGAUGUAUUAGUACCACCUUUUGUCUUUACUUCAAGAACCUAAAACAAUAUGUAUAAUACUUGGGUUCAAAGUUUUGACCUGUUGUGGUUAAUUCUUGCUUCCUUUCUUUCUCCUAAAAUCAUGUCCAUUUCCAAUUAUGUGAAUCCUUUGUUUCAGGGCCUGAAGAGGAAGUUUUUGCAUUGCUUGCACGGUAAAUUGGGUGAACUUCUGAGAUUAUUUGGGCAUUUUUUUACCUGUGAGCCUAUGUGCCCAUUCACUAGCCCUAUGCGCCCAUCCCUGAAGCUCCGGUUCAUCUAGAUGAAUGAAUUUUGUGGUAUGGCUGUAGGUCGACAGUAACUAUGGUAAAAGAAACCAACGAAUUGGUCUGCAAGGUUGGGAUUCACCAAUUGCCAACAGUCAGAAUAUUCAAAAUAUAUACGAUUUAGAAGGCAGAUAGGGAGCUUGCAAUGAGCGGGAAGAACACUGACAAGCUGCAGGCGGCUGGGUCCUUCCUGAUGAAGGUUUUCGGUGCACUAGCGAUUUAAUCUAUGGAUGUCAGUGAGAUUCCAUCCAGGGUCAUCAUCAAGGUGGCGCUCACCGUCCGCAGUUUCCAAAACCAUUAACACACAAUACCCACCAAGGGCGAAGGGAGAAGUGCUGGUGACAUUCUCUCCGAUAGCAUCUCCUGAACAUCAUUCCGAUGGAGAAGUCCAACUAUACAACCAACAACCUUUGAUAUGUUGUAAUAAUGACUGUUUACAUAGUGUUUCACCCAUUGAAUAGUUUUUUUCAUUUGAUGUUUUAUUACCGUCGAUGUCUAUAGAUGUUAAUAUAGCACUUUACAAACUAUUUACUGGGGCCGCAAGUCAUGCAAGCCACAAAAUGUUGCUCUACUUCAUCUUUUCUUGAUUGUAUAUAAGCGUUUGCUACUCCA